UUUAAGAGAAAAUGGUUAUAAGUGUUGUCUAAAUACUCCUAAUCCAUCUCUAACUCUUAUAAUUAGUCAAAUGCAUUGGAUUGUGACAUAUUUUGACCAUAAAAAGACUAACCAAACUGUUUACUGCUUCUAAGCAAAUUUUUAU
rnacentral:sRNA from 1 species